rnacentral:sRNA from 1 species
UUUUAGCCCCGAUUGAAACGGCAUCCUUUUUUGUUAUUGCGAUUGCGAUCAUUUUCAACGGAUUGCUUCGUUCCUCGCAAUGACAAAAAAGAUAUAGUAGAAAGCGGGUACCAUC